rnacentral:rRNA from 1 species
UACGAAGGGGGCUAGCGUUGCUCGGAAUCACUGGGCGUAAAGCGCACGUAGGCGGCUUUCUAAGUCAGAGGUGAAAUCCUGGAGCUCAACUCCAGAACUGCCUUUGAUACUGGAGAGCUUGAGUCCGGAAGAGGUGAGUGGAACUCCGAGUGUAGAGGUGAAAUUCGUAGAUAUUGGAAGAACACCAGUGGCGAAGGCGGCUCACUGGUCCGGUACUGACGCUGAGGUGCGAAAGCGUGGGGAGCAAACAGG